AACAGGCUUUCCGGUAGCGGUGACGCAAGCACGCAAGCCCUUGUAGAAGAAAAAAAAGAAGUGCUUUCAUCUUCGCCUCGGCUGACGUAGCAGUUGAAAGGGAUGAAACGCUCUGAAAUCGACUACACGUACCCGACUCAUCACAAGGUCGUUAAGCUCAUGGUGUUUAACCAAUACUAGGCACCGCACGUGGUUGCGUGGUGUUGAACCCGUUUAGGGCAGCCACCUCCGAUAUGUCAUGGCUGUUUACUUUUGAGUGACGGGUUCUCAAAAAUGGCAAACAAACAAGCAAAAAAAGAGAGAAAAAAAAUUGGAGAACUCCAGGAAGCAAUAACUGGGAACGCAAGACCGUUGACUUCUGCAAUCUCGAGGAGUUUCUAAUUUUUGCCCUCUACCAGAGAACUACGCCUCCGACCUGUGAGGAGCGCUCUCAAGGACUAAUGGGACUAUUGUGACCACCCAGAGAUAGCUCGUCGCAAAUGCCAACAAGGGCCCGAGUACUAUGGGUAUGCAAAUGUUACUUUAUCGGUAACGCUUUUUUUACUGCCACCAAUCCUGCUGGAGGUAAUGGGCUGGCCUCAAAGCCUGUAUAGGAAGUUGUAGGUUCUUUAGUCGAUAAUGUACCACUCAGAUACAAUUUUCCAUAUUUGCUUCUUAAAUAAACUGCAACCUUGGCUCUGCCUGCACUAUUGCUUUUUAAUAAAGAAACGUAUAUUCAC
rnacentral:lncRNA from 1 species